GACGAACGCUGGCGGCGUGCUUAACACAUGCAAGUCGAACGGUGACGAGGAGCUUGCUCCUCUGAUCAGUGGCGAACGGGUGAGUAACACGUGAGCAACCUGCCCCAGACUCUGGGAUAACAGUUGGAAACAGCUGCUAAUACCGGAUACGAGACGGAGAGGCAUCUCUACCGUCUGGAAAGUUUUUCGGUCUGGGAUGGACUCGCGGCCUAUCAGCUAGUUGGUGAGGUAAUGGCUCACCAAGGCGACGACGGGUAGCCGGCCUGAGAGGGCGACCGGCCACACUGGGACUGAGACACGGCCCAGACUCCUACGGGAGGCAGCAGUGGGGAAUAUUGCACAAUGGGCGAAAGCCUGAUGCAGCGACGCCGCGUGAGGGACGAAGGCCUUCGGGUUGGUAAACUCGUUUCAGCAGGAGAAGCGAAAGUGACGGUACCUGCAGAAGAAGCACCGGCUAACUACGU
rnacentral:rRNA from 1 species